GAUACGAUGGUGAAGGUAUACACGUGUGACUGCGCCCUGUCUAAGCGGCCCGCGGCGUCUGUGCAUAGAUUGUGAUGCAAGCAGCACUGCUCCGCCGCUAUUGGUGACGUCAGGGGGGACGGGAACGACGCGUGAUUUGGUCGCAUGGACCUGAGCACUGGGUGUACUUCAUAUAAGGGACCCUUGCUGGACGCUACUACGCAGCAAAGGACCCAAGAGAGAGCAGAGUCUGGCACCUGCCUGGGAAUACCGAAAGAGGUCUCGACAGACCAAGAGAUGAUGAAAAUACAGGCAGGAAGUUGAUCAUGCAAUAUCAUCAGGGAGGCGUCGGAUUGGCUCCAAAUUUAUUCUGCUGCAGGACAAUGACCCCAAGCAUACAGCCAAUGUCACUAAGAACUAUCUUCAGUUUAAAGAAGAACAAGGAGUCCUGGAAGUGAUUAUAUGAGCCCCACAGAGCCCUAAUCUCAACAUCAUCGAAUCUGUCUGGGCAAAGGUGCAGCUAGGUGCCACGGUGCUCGAAACAAGGACAAUAGCCUACAAAUGUUUCCACAGCUUUUGAUUUUGCACCUAUUAAAUGUCGCCCAGGAAGACAGGUAAAUAAUUCAUA